AGAGCGGCGGACGGGUGAGUAACACGUGGACAAUCGUCGCCCCCCGGCCCGGGAUAGGCCCAGGGAAACCUGGAUUAAUACCGGAUGAGACGGGACCCGCGAUGGCGGGAUCCGGGAAAGGCGCUGCGGCGCCGCCGGGGAUGAGUCUGCGUCCCAUUAGCUAGACGGCGGGGUGACGGCCCACCGUGGCGACGAUGGGUAGCCGGCCUGAGAGGGUGGACGGCCACAUUGGAACUGAGACACGGUCCAGACUCCUACGGGAGGCAGCAGCUAAGAAUCUUCCGCAAUGGGCGAAAGCCUGACGGAGCGACGCCCGCGUGAACGAAGAAGGCCGUGAGGUUGUAAAGUUCUUUCGGAGGGGGAACAACCGUGGCAGGGAAUGGCCGCGGGAUGACGUGAAUCCCGGAAUAAGCCCCGGCUAACUACGUGCCAGCAGCGGC
rnacentral:rRNA from 1 species